GGGGUUUAUCAUUAGCAUAUCUAAGGAGAAGGUAGAAGAAAGGGAUAGAGAGGGAAAGAGGAAGGGAGAAGGGGGUGAGGUAAGGACAGGGGUUUAUCAUUAGCAUAUCUAAGGAGAAGGUAGAAGAAAGGGAUGGGAACGUCCUAUUUUGCUCUUUGACAGAUAACAGUCUAAAGUACUGUCUUGUUUCCAUGCAAUAACACAUAUAUAUCCCUCCCUUCUUCUUUCGUCCCCGCUCUUGUUUUCCUAGGAGAAAUAUGCUUUCUCCUGGCGAACAGGGGAAGACAUAUUGUCCCGUGAGGAGCUGUGAAGAGCUCUUUGAUACAUUGAGAUUAUUACAGGGCUCUGUCAGAUUUUCCUGCUGGCCUGUGUGUGUGUGUAUGUGUGUGCGUGCGUGCGUCCAUGCAUAAGAGACAUAAGCAGUCACUAGGGGGCCCCGACCAGGAACUCAGUCGGAGUCUCAAUGUAAUAUUGAGAGUAAGAAUAGCAGAAUAUAGAAGGAGCCAUUUCAAAAGUUGGUUGUGCAUCAGCAGGUUUUCUAUUGUUGUCAGUCACUGACAGUCACUCAAUGAGCUAUGUGAGCUAAUGAUUUGUAGAUGAUAAGAUAGUCUAGCCAGCUACAGUGCCUUGCGAAAGUAUUCGGCCCCCUUGAACUUUGCGACCUUUUGCCACAUUUCAGGCUUCAAACAUAAAGAUAUAAAACUGUAUUUUUUUGUGAAGAAUCAACAACAAGUGGGACACAAUCAUGAAGUGGAACGACAUUUAUUGGAUAUUUCAAACUUUUUUAACAAAUCAAAAACUGAAAAAUUGGGCGUGCAAAAUUAUUCAGCCCCCUUAAGUUAAUACUUUGUAGCGCCACCUUUUGCUGCGAUUACAGCUGUAAGUCGCUUGGGGUAUGUCUCUAUCAGUUUUGCACAUCGAGAGACUGACAUUUUUUCUCAUUCCUCCUUGCAAAACAGCUCGAGCGCAGUGAGGUUGGAUGGAGAGCAUUUGUGAACAGCAGUUUUCAGUUCUUUCCACAGAUUCUCGAUUGGAUUCAGGUCUGGACUUUGACUUGGCCAUUCUAACACCUGGAUAUGUUUAUUUUUGAACCAUUCCAUUGUAGAUUUUGCUUUAUGUUUUGGAUCAUUGGCUUGUUGGAAGACAAAUCUCUGUCCCAGUCUCAGGUCUUUUGCAGACUCCAUCAGGUUUUCUUCCAGAAUGGUCCUGUAUUUGGCUACAUCCAUCUUCCCAUCAAUUUUAACCAUCUUCCCUGUCCCUGCUGAAGAAAAGCAGGCCCAAACCAUGAUGCUGCCACCACCAUGUUUGACAGUGGGGAUGGUGUGUUCAGGGUGAUGAGCUGUGUUGCUUUUACGCCAAACAUAACGUUUUGCAUUGUUGCCAAAAAGUUCAAUUUUGGUUUCAUCUGACCAGAGCACCUUCUUCCACAUGUUUGGUGUUUGAAGCCUGAAAUGUGGCAAAAGGUCGCAAAGUUCAAGGGGGCCGAAUACUUUCGCAAGGCACUGUAUCUAAACUUGUAGUAAUCAUGACCGAAUACUCACCUGCGUAUGCAGGGUACGUGCCCAGGGGCCCUGACCUCCAGGGGCCCCCAUUGAUUUUGUUAGUCACUCUCAUUCCCAUAUUAUAUUAACAUGGCAUAAGUCAUGGCAAAAUGUGUUGAAUUGCAGAAAAUGAGUUUUAAAACUGCAAACAUUUCUCUCCACCCCAUGGCAAAAUGUGUAGAAUUGUAGGAAACUUGCUUUAAUCAAAACGGCACCAUUUUCUCUAUGCACCAUAGCAACAUUUGUAGAAUUGCAGGAAUGAUACAUUAAAACGUAAAUGUUUCUCUCUGCCGUCAAGAGGUGGGCCACUAAAAUGCAUGUCAUUCAAUUGUUGGAGACUUCCUCGUCGUCAGUCAUUCUGAGUGGACUCAGUGUGGAAAGCUAAAAGAAAUGCUAAUUCGAUUUUGGAGGUCCGACUCUUCCCGAGUUUUUGGCAGUCUCAGAGAGUUUGCUCCGAUCGUUCACCACGUGAAGUGAUUAUGCUGCAAAUGGCCCUUUUGUUAUCUUGGGGAGGCAGUCAGUUGUAAAUAGCUGCAGAGUUAUCUGAGCAGCACAGUCAGUCGGAGAGGAGACGAGUAAUUGGAUAAUUAAUUUAGUCUGGGACAGGUCAAACGGGUUUUCCUCAUCUGCUUUUCCUUUCCGGCACUCGCUCUGUGGCAAGGUCUCCAGGACACGUGAUUAAUGUGUGUGUGUUGGCUGUGUGUGUGUGAUUGAUAUGUGCCAUGGACGGAUAAUUACAGCGCAUUCAUCUCCCCUCACCCUCUCUCCCUCACCCUCUCUCCUUCACCCUCUCUCCCUUUCACCCUCUAGACAUGCAGGAUGGGUAAUGAUGAUGACAUGAGAGGUUGUUUCAAAUGAUAUGUUGUUUCAAACACACACUAUAUGAUAUUUAAAGAGAUAGUUUACUCAGAAUACAAACUAAUAUGAUUUUCAACCUACCUUGGCUGCAGUUGAUUCAAGAAGGCAGUUUUGGGAUAUUUAGUUUCCUUUCAACACUUAAUAGCCAUAUUUGGUUACUGUUAGCAAUCUCAGUAACACUUAACAAUAAACUGUUCUUGUGCCUGUGUAAUAAUCUGUAAUUACUUUUGGAGCAACAUUUUAUUAGCAUGUUGUUACAUUUCAUUUCAACUGCAUAGCAAUGAGCUGAGAGUUUUUGUAACUACUGAACACGAGGAAUAGUGACUGUUCCUUAUUCCACUUCUGUCGUAACUCCAUUAUUAUGCAAUUAUAAAGCAAUUUCCAAAAUCCUAUGUAAUAACAAUGUGCUAUUGUAAUAAACACAAGGUUAGUAUGUCAUGAUAAAAUGAAAUCAAAUGAAAAUGUUGCUCUUACUUUUUUUUCACAUAUAUUUUUUGUGAUUUCACAUAAGUUUUGUUUUGGAGCGUCACUGAGUGGAUUCAUAGGAACAUUGCCGAUAAUCACUGGAGUGUAACAACGGGAGGAACCGGAGCACCUCACAGCACAAUUGCCUUGCAGAAGCAGCAUGGGGGGCAGAACCGCAUUGGGCGCCAAUGAGGAAGGAACUCAGACAAACAGUGAAGUAACAGGGAAGUGCAUCGUUUUGAACUAUUUUGCACUGGACUGGGUGAUUUUAAAGAAUGGAUUUUGGAUUUUAAGGAAUAGACUGGUUUAUUGUAAAUAUAUAUAUAUUCAAAGACAAUUGUGUGGCAUUGUACUGCUCAAUAUUUCUUUGUGCCUCAGGCCUAACCCAGAGGUGGAUCAGGAGUGGACAGAGCAGAAUGAAUACCAUGAAAGGACUUCCCCACCUCAUAAAAUUCAACUUUAGCCAAUUAGUGAGUGGCCUAAAUGUUUACCUAUUUAUUUUU
ensembl:lncRNA